AUGCAGAAACAGUUCCUAAACCCUUAAUAAUGGAAAUCAACAUAAUAUUUUCUUCUUAUCUUUCCCCUCACUUGUUGACAGAGGGACUAAACAUAUCCAACUUUUCUGCCUCAUCUUUGCUGAUUCUGAACUGAGAAUUGCAUGGUGAGUCUGCAAAAGAAUUCAGUUGCAGGUUUGUGGUGGCUUUUCUACUAUUCUCAGCUCAACUCAUUCAUUCUGAGAGCUGCCAUAGAUAUCAUCUCUGAGCCAACAAAGGUUGUGAGCUUCCAAGACUGAACCUCUGCAAAGUGAACCAGCACAAGAAGUCUCUGAUCCUUCUGACACACCCUUUUGUCCUUCACCAACAGAUGGAUUCUACUGCAUGGCCGUUUGCCAUGGGAGGAAGAGGUAGAAAUGGAUCCCUCCAUGUCCCAUCCACCCACUCUUUCAUGUUACUGCAGUCAUGUCCUUUCUGGGGAAUGUUACCGCAACCCAAAUUAUCAGAGAGCAUUGCCCCACCACCAUGGAGCAAGAAACAUGGUCUCCAAGCUUCCUUUCCCCACCUUAAAGGAGGCAGUGGUUGAAUGAGAAGGAGAUAGAGGAACUCCUCCUUCCCCUUGCAGCUCUUUGCACUGUGAAUGGGGAGGCACUCUUGCUGCUACAAGCAGAAGCUGAGGAAAGGGUUGUGGUCGCCGGACGAGGAUGAGAAGCUUGUGAAGCACAUCACGGAGUUUGGCCAUGGCUGUUGGAGCUCCGUCCCCAAGCUAGCAGGUCUACAGAGGUGCGGCAAGAGCUGCAGAUUGAGGUGGAUCAACUACCUGAGGCCUGACCUCAAGAGGGGCACCUUCUCGCAGCAGGAGGAGAACCUCAUCGUUGAGCUCCAUGCAGCCUUGGGCAACAGGUCCUCCGCCUGCCACCAGCGCCGGCUUCGAUCUCUGUGUCUGGCUUUUCGCUUUCUUGAGCCUUCCCGCUGUUUCCUUGGCUUCAGGUGGUCUCAGAUCGCGGCGCGGCUGCCGGGAAGAACGGAUAACGAGAUCAAGAACUAUUGGAACUCAUGCAUCAAGAAGAAGCUGAGGCAGAGAGGGAUCGAUCCGAGCUGCCACAUGCCACUGUGCGAGACGGAUGGAAGAGAAGAGCGAGAAGCCAUGAACAGCGACAAGACCUCUGGAUUCAUCUCCGUGGUGGCGAGCAACCAGAUCGAGAGCGAAGAUCCAGCGACGCCCAGCAAAGAAUUCUUGGUAGAUCAGCUCGACCGAUGCGCUCCUCUGGUCGGGCCAUCAGCUCCUCAGAAUCCGCCUCUCUGGUUUAGCCAUCACACCAGGCUGCAAGACCUUUUUCCAUCGAUCUCAAGCUCGAUCCUCUCGUCGUCAGGGGAGGUGAAACCCAUGACGAGUCUCCCACAAGUCAGCUACUCCCUGCCGGAAUUCCACUACCUGGACACGGGCAAUUCCACAAACAACAGCGCGAACACCGCGGACAGCAGCAACGAGUUCGAGUUGCAGAGCAGUGGUGGUAAUCUUUUGGACAGCGGCAUCUUCCCAUGGUCCGAACUUUUGCCCAACAAGGGUGCCCAAAUCCAUUUCGACGGCGAGCCGCAGGAUCUCAAGUGGUCCGAGUACCUCAACGGUACCAUUGCACCGACAGCAGCGGCCCACAGCCAUGGCCAAGGCUUGAGUUCUUGGCAUGAGAACCAGCAGCCACAACCUUCUGAUCCUUAUCUUAAGAACUGAUGCAUUUAGCUUCGAUCACAAGUGUCAGAUUCAGAACCGAGUCAAGAAAAAGGGAAGGAAUUCUUUUGACAUCAUGCUUGAGGCUAAGAUAGGUUAAUGUUUGCUCGAGUGAAGCUUCACCACCAUGAAAGCGACUCAGUCAGCUACGCUUCGGUUUCAAGGCUCUGAGGUGAACGUGUAGUAACAUCAAGUGACAGAGGACAUGAAAUAAAGAGUUGUUGCAGGCAGCCACAGGUGGGUGGACGGUGACCACCAAACUUCCACCACCCGUAAGCACAGACAUUACCUUAAAGUCCACAAAUGAAGGGUAAGUAUGAGAAGCAUUUCUUGGUGGAGUCUUCCUCCUUACAACAUGGAGUUGGUGGAGAUUUAAGGAAUCAUUUAGAACAUUUGUCUGUGUGGAGUCCAUGUUUGAGGAUUCAUCAUUUGGCUUGUGGUUGGUUGCUCUUUUUGUGUUCCAUUAA